GAGACCGCCUGCUUCGACUGUAUGUUACAACACACACUAACUCUAUAAAAAAAGCACAGUGAGUCGCUGCCCCUGUAUAAACAGGCUAUGAGAGUGUAUGAGGACAGUCUGGGAUGCUCACACCCACAGGUCAGAGAAACACUGAAGAACCUAGCUGUACUCAGCUAUGUGGAGGAAAGCAGCAGAGCUCAACAAUCCAUGGAGAUCAAAUAGGCGGAGCAGUCUCUGGUUUGUGGAAGGCCCAUGUCGACACUCGUCCAGUGGGGAUGGGCCUUUAGCCUGCGAGGGCCCACACCUCUCCCACAUGCCCGCAGGUGACCCCUCUCUAUUCCGCCCCUUCCAAGAACACAGGUGGUGGAUCUCAUUUUGCCUUUCAUUCAUCCUGUGUGUCCAUUUCCUCGUCUCCUUCUAGAAAUGCAUUGGUGGAGAAGGUCAGUGGGAGGGACCUUGCAUCUUCUCCUCGAAUGCAUUUUCAGGAGGUGGAAAGGAUAGAGGACAUGAAGAAUCAAGGAAGUACAAUUGAAGGCCAUCCAUGGUUCGCAAUCUGCUUUCCUGAGAAGAACAACGUCCAUCACACUGAAUAGUUUGUUAUGCUGCUUUGAGAUGGAACAGUGUAGUGGUGUCGCCUGUCAAGAGUACUGUAACUAACUUCUGAAAUAAAUUAUGUUUUAAUGUCUGUUCA
ensembl:lncRNA